GAUGAACGCUGGCGGCGUGCCUAAUACAUGCAAGUCGAGCGAACGGACGAGAAGCUUGCUUCUCUGAUGUUAGCGGCGGACGGGUGAGUAACACGUGGAUAACCUACCUAUAAGACUGGGAUAACUUCGGGAAACCGUAGCUAAUACCGGAUAAUAUUUUGAACCGCAUGGUUCAAAAGUGAAAGACGGUCUUGCUGUCACUUAUAGAUGGAUCCGCGCUGCAUUAGCUAGUUGGUAAGGUAACGGCUUACCAAGGCAACGAUGCAUAGCCGACCUGAGAGGGUGAUCGGCCACACUGGAACUGAGACACGGUCCAGACUCCUACGCGAGGCAGCAGUAGGGAAUCUUCCGCAAUGGGCGAAAGCCUGACGGAGCAACGCCGCGUGAGUGAUGAAGGUCUUCGGAUCGUAAAACUCUGUUAUUAGGGAAGAACAUAUGUGUAAGUAACUGUGCACAUCUUGACGGUACCUAAUCAGAAAGCCACGGCUAACUACGUG
rnacentral:rRNA from 1 species